rnacentral:rRNA from 1 species
CAGUAGCCACGGUAAUACGUAGGGUGCGAGCGUUGUCCGGAAUUACUAGGCGUAAAGGGCUCGUAGGUGGUUUGUCGCGUCGUCUGUGAAAUUCUGGGGCUUAACUCCGGGCGUGCAGGCGAUACGGGCAUAACUUGAGUGCUGUAGGGGUAACUGGAAUUCCUGGUGUAGCGGUGAAAUGCGCAGAUAUCAGGAGGAACACCGAUGGCGAAGGCAGGUUACUGGGCAGUUACUGACGCUGAGGAGCGAAAGCAUGGGUAGCGAACAGGAUUAGAUACCCCCGUAGUCCCUGUCUCUUAUA